CGAAAUGCGAUAAGUAAUGCGAAUUGCAGAAUUCAGUGAAUCAUCGAAUCUUUGAACGCACCUUGCG
rnacentral:rRNA from 1 species